GCGCACCAGUCGCGAAAACUUUACAAUGUGCGAAAGCACGAUAAGGGAACUCUGAGUGCCUCCUAAGGAGGCUGUUCAGGUGUCUAAAAAGACACCUGAAGGAAGGGCGUGGGUAAGGACCGGUGCCAGCCGCCGCGGUAACACCGGCAGCCCAACGUGGUAGCCACGUUUAUUGGGUCUAAAGCGUCCGUAGCCGGCUGGGUAAGUUCCUUGGGAAAUUUGGCUGCUUAACAGUCAAGCUUUCAGGGAAUACUGCCCGGCUUGGGACCGGGAGAGGUCAGAGGUACUCCAGGGGUAGGGGUGAAAUCCAUUAAUCCUUGGGGGACCACCGGUAGCGAAGGCGUCUGACCAGACCGGGUCCGACGGUGAGGGACGAAGGCUA
rnacentral:rRNA from 1 species